UACGUAGGGUGCAAGCGUUGUCCGGAAUUAUUGGGCGUAAGAGCUACGUAGGCGGCUUGUCGCGUCGAAUGUGAAAACUCGGGGCUCAACUCCGAGCUUGCAUUCGAUACGGGCAGGCUAGAGUUCGGUAGGGGAGACUGGAAUUCCUGGUGGUAGCGGUGAAAUGCGCAGAUAUCAGGAGGAACACCGGUGGCGAAGGCGGGUCUCUGGGCCGAUACCUGACGCUGAGGAGCGAAAGCGUGGGGAGCGAACAGGA
rnacentral:rRNA from 1 species